rnacentral:lncRNA from 1 species
GCUCCGUCUAGGACUGAGGACACAGAAGCACUGAUCGUUCUAAAGCCACACUUUCUGUUCAAGUCCAAACAUAAACUUCUUUUGUUUCCAUAAAGAAGGCGGUAGCAUUCUAAGAUACACAGAGGAGCAAGGAAUCCCAUCAUAUCCAUGUUAUUUCCUAACUGCGUAUAUUGAAAAUAAUGAAAUAGAAGAAAAGUGAAAGCUUUGUGUUGCAGUGCUUAGAAGAUAGAUGACUUUCCACCAGGGUGAAAAGUGCUCGCAAAAAUAGAUACCAUGUCUCUUUCCUGACAGUAUGAAUGAUGGGGAAACCUGGCCGUGCACAGAAGCCUAACUAUUCUCUGGAUACCAUGGAUAAAAGCAGCUUGAACUAGUACCAAAAUGAGCAUUACAAACACUGCAGGUGUCUCUCAAAUCGAGCCCUCAUUUUCCAAGCAAUUAAUGCUGAUUUCAAGCCAAUAGGACAAUAACAAGGGGCUACACCUAGAAGAGCCUGCUGUUUCAUACAACUGUGUUUGCUAAAACAGUUCAGCCACAAAUCCUGAACAAGAGAUCUCCUGCGGAGUGUGAGCAGCAUGGAGGAGCCAUAAUCCCGCUAUCUCU